GACCCUGUGGUCUAGUGGUUAUGAUGUCGCCUUGACGUGGCGAAGAUCGCCGGUCCAACUCCGGCCAGGGUCA
rnacentral:tRNA from 1 species